GCCCAUGUAGCUCAGUUGGUAGAGCGCAGUCUUGGUAAGACUGAGGUCGACGGUUCAAUCCCGUCCGUGGGCU
rnacentral:tRNA from 3 species